GAGAUUCCCCCAGUAGCGGCGAGCGAACGGGGAGGAGCCCAGAGCCUGAAUCAGCAUGUGUGUUAGUGGAAGCGUCUGGAAAGGCGCGCGAUACAGGGUGACAGCCCCGUACACAAAAGCGCAUGUGUUGUGAGCUCGAUGAGUAGGGCGGGACACGUGGUAUCCUGUCUGAAUAUGGGGGGACCAUCCUCCAAGGCUAAAUACUCCUGACUGACCGAUAGUGAACCAGUACCGUGAGGGAAAGGCGAAAAGAACCCCGGCGAGGGGAGUGAAAAAGAACCUGAAACCGUGUACGUACAAGCAGUGGGAGCACAGGUUUACCUGUGUGACUGCGUACCUUUUGUAUAAUGGGUCAGCGACUUAUAUUCUGUAGCAAGGUUAACCGUAUAGGGGAGCCGCAGGGAAACCGAGUCUUAACCGGGCGUUAAGUUGCAGGGUAUAGACCCGAAACCCGGUGAUCUAGCCAUGGGCAGGUUGAAGGUUGGGUAACACUAACUGGAGGACCGAACCGACUAAUGUUGAAAAAUUAGCGGAUGACCUGUGGCUGGGGGUGAAAGGCCAAUCAAACCGGGAGAUAGCUGGUUCUCCCCGAAAGCUAUUUAGGUAGCGCCUCGUGAAUUCAUCUCCGGGGGUAGAGCACUGUUUCGGCUAGGGGGCCAUCCCGGCUUACCAACCCGAUGCAAACUGCGAAUACCGGAGAAUGUUAUCACGGGAGACACACGGCGGGUGCUAACGUCCGUCGUGAAGAGGGAAACAACCCAGACCGCCAGCUAAGGUCCCAAAGUCAUGGUUAAGUGGGAAACGAUGUGGGAAGGCCCAGACAGCCAGGAUGUUGGCUUAGAAGCAGCCAUCAUUUAAAGAAAGCGUAAUAGCUCACUGGUCGAGUCGGCCUGCGCGGAAGAUGUAACGGGGCUAAACCAUGCACCGAAGCUGCGGCAGCGA
rnacentral:rRNA from 2 species